UGGGGAAUUUUGGACAAUGGGCGAAAGCCUGAUCCAGCAAUGCCGCGUGUGUGAGGAAGGCCUUCGGGUUGUAAAGCACUUUUGUCCGGAAAGAAAUCCUUGGCUCUAAUACAGUCGGGGGAUGACGGUACCGGAAGAAUAAGCACCGGCUAACUACGUGCCAGCAGCCGCGGUAAUACGUAGGGUGCAAGCGUUAAUCGGAAUUACUGGGCGUAAAGCGUGCGCAGGCGGUUUGCUAAGACCGAUGUGAAAUCCCCGGGCUCAACCUGGGAACUGCAAUGGUGACUGGCAGGCUAGAGUAUGGCAGAGGGGGGUAGAAUUCCACGUGUAGCAGUGAAAUGCGUAGAGAUGUGGAGGAAUACCGAUGGCGAAGGCAGCCCCCUGGGCCAAUACUGACGCUCAUGCACGAAAGCGUGGGGAGCAAACAGGAUUAGAUACCCUGGUAGUCCACGCCCUAAACGAUGUCAACUAGUUGUUGGGGAUUCAUUUCCUUAGUAACGUACUAACGCGUGAAGUUGGCCGCCUGGGGAGUACGGUCGCAAGAUUAAAACUCAAAUUGAAUUGACGGGGUCAUAGCUGUUUCCU
rnacentral:rRNA from 1 species